UUAAAACUUAUUUAUUAUUUAGAUUUUGGCCGCACCCUGGGGCAUGUGGGAUCUUUGUUCCCCCACGAGGGAUUGAAUCUACAGUCCCUGCUUUGGAAAGUGGAGUCUUAACCACUGGACCACCAGGGAAGUCCCCAGUCUAGCUGAUUUUCAGUCAUCUACAUAUGAGUCCGCUUUCCUGUUGUCUACACUACAGCACACGGGCAUCUCCAGCAGAAGUGGGUGAGGAUUCCAGCUCCUCUGAAUCCGCGCCAUGGGUGCUGAUGGAUCAGGUGCCGGGCUGGGAGCCAGAGCCCGGAUGCACAGAGCACUGCCCUGGGGAGAUCCAGGUGCUGAUUUCGCCUGGAGUCUUCAGACAUCAUGGCAUCACAAACCUUUUCCUUUGAAGUUUCGACCUGCCUAUCUUCCUUAUUUGAUUGGUGGUUUCACGAUGGAAACUAUCGUGAUUUAGAUGUCUAGUUAUUCCCCUACUGGGUCUGUCAUUGCCCUGCCUGCUUCCUCAAGAUAUGUCAGAUCGCUUCAGCUGACUUCCAGCUGCCAGAAUUGUAUGUCUGUGCUGAGAACUUUCCCCCAGAACAACAGAAGGCACACAGCAAACGGAAAUUGCCUGGCACACAAUCUAUUCCUCUCCCAGUAGUCUUCAACCAAUGAGUCUUAGGACGAGGUGUAUAAAUACCCCAGCUCUCUCCUCCCUCAGGUGGGAUAAUGCUGAAGUUCUGUGUUGCACUGUUUACCUGUGGGAUUAAGUUCCAGUCAUCCACACAGGUGUGCAUCUUAAAUAACACAUCCUACUGACUGCUUCCCAAUCCUUGUCUCACUUCUCCACUCCUCUGGGAGCAUCCAUGCCCCAGAAACUUUCUCUCAGGGUCUGCUGAGGGGUGUGUGUGUGUGUGUGUGAGACAGAGAGAGUCACUCAGUCAUGUCUGACUCUUGCAACCCCAUGGACUGUAG
rnacentral:lncRNA from 1 species